rnacentral:rRNA from 1 species
UGGCGGACGGGUGAGUAACGCGUGGGUAACCUGCCUUACACUGGGGGAGUAACACUUAGAAAUAGGUGCUAAUACCGCAUAAGCGCACGAAGCCGCAUGGAUUUGUGUGAAAACUCCGGUGGUGUAAGAUGGACCCGCGUCUGAUUAGCUUGUUGGCGGGGCAACGGCCCACCAAGGCGACGAUCAGUAGCCGGCCUGAGAGGGUGGACGGCCACAUUGGGACUGAGACACGGCCCAAACUCCUACGGAAGGCAGCAG